rnacentral:rRNA from 1 species
UACGUAGGGCGCAAGCGUUGUCCGGAAUUAUUGGGCGUAAAGAGCUCGUAGGCGGUCUGUCACGUCUGCCGUGAAAACCCGAGGCUUAACCUCGUGGCUUGCGGUGGAUACGGGCAGACUAGAGGUAGGUAGGGGAGAACGGAAUUCUCGGUGUAGCGGUGAAAUGCGCAGAUAUCGGGAGGAACACCGGUGGCGAAGGCGGAUCUCUGGGCCAUUACUGACGCUGAGGAGCGAAAGCGUGGGGAGCGAACAGG